rnacentral:rRNA from 1 species
GAUGAACGCUGGCGGCGCGCCUAACACAUGCAAGUCGAACGGUUAAAGCACCUUUUAGGUGUGUAUAAAGUGGCGAACGGCUGAGUAACACGUGGGCAACCUGCCCUCCUCUUGGGGAUAGCCUCGGGAAACCGAGGAUAAUACCCGAUACUUCAAUGUGGCCGCAUGACGACAUUGAGAAAGCUUUUGCGGAGAAGGAUGGGCCCGCGGCCUGUUAGCUUGUUGGUGGGGUAGAGGCCUACCAAGGCAAUGAUGGGUAGCUGGGCUGAGAGACCGACCAGCCAGAUUGGGACUGAGACACGGCCCAGACUCCUACGGGAGGCAGCAGUGGGGAAUCUUGCACAAUGGGCGCAAGCCUGAUGCAGCGACGCCGCGUGCGGGACGAAGGCCUUCGGGUUGUAAACCGCUUUCAGCAGGGACGAGGCGAUAAGUGACGGUACCUGCAGAAGAAGCCCCGGCUAACUACGUG